rnacentral:rRNA from 1 species
GACGAACGCUGGCGGCGUGCCUAAUACAUGCAAGUUGAGCGCUGAAGGUUGGUACUUGUACCAACUGGAUGAGCAGCGAACGGGUGAGUAACGCGUGGGGAAUCUGCCUUUGAGCGGGGGACAACAUUUGGAAACGAAUGCUAAUACCGCAUAAAAACUUUAAACACAAGUUUUAAGUUUGAAGGAUGCAAUUGCAUCACUCAAAGAUGAUCCCGCGUUGUAUUAGCUAGUUGGUGAGGUAAAGGCUCACCAAGGCGAUGAUACAUAGCCGACCUGAGAGGGUGAUCGGCCACAUUGGGACUGAGACACGGCCCAAACUCCUACGGGAGGCAGCAGUAGGGAAUCUUCGGCAAUGGACGAAAGUCUGACCGAGCAACGCCGCGUGAGUGAAGAAGGUUUUCGGAUCGUAAAACUCUGUUGGUAGAGAAGAACGUUGGUGAGGGUGGAAAGCUCAUCAAGUGACGGUAACUACCCAGAAAGGGACGGCUAACUACGUG